rnacentral:pre_miRNA from 1 species
AUGAUGAUGAUGGUGGUGAAGAUGGGUUGCAUUUUCCUUCAUCAUAGUCAUCAUUGACC